GCUCCUCAGGAGGUAUCGAAUGAGCAGCUGCCCAGUGAGAACCUCAGCACUGCCCUGGACCAGAAGAUCGUCUCUCCCAACCGCAUCCUCUGUGACACUAACAUCUAUGCUAAUGUUAUUGUGGGCUUCUCAGAUCUCAUGUCCCCAAAUGAAGUGUACAGCUUUAAGAGAUCUUCGCCCAUAACAGAGGGUCAGGGACCUGAUAUGUUUUUUGGGUCAAGUAAGCGAACCGGGCCAGCAAAGAGGGUCAACUGUGUCUGUGUUAGGUGUCAAUCAAGUGGUCCGAGCACUGCCCCCUACACAAGUCCCACUGACUGAGAUCUACCCCAAAGAUGUCACACCACCCAUGACUGCUGCUUACCUUGAAGUGACAGACCUGAACUCUAAGAAGCUCAAAUGCAUUCCAGUCCCGAGGAGCAGCUCCAUGUCUCCCUACACUGUGUGGAUCUCAAAGGUCUCAGACACAGAUGUAGUGAUGGCUCUUCUGGGCUCUGGUGGAGUGGUGACUGUGGACAUCAGAUUAUGGGAAACAGGCCUUGACAACCUGCAGCGCUCUCUGCUGGAGUGGAGGGACAUGAUCGGAUCAAAAGA